rnacentral:rRNA from 1 species
CCCUUAGAUGUUCGGGGCCGCACGCGCGCUAAACUGAAGGAAUCAGCACGUCUUUCUCCUUGUCCGAAAGGACUGGGUAACCCGCUGAACCUCCUUCGUGCUAGGGAUUGGGGCUUGUAAUUCUUCCCCAUGAACGAGGAAUUCCCAGUAAGCGCGAGUCAUAAGCUCGCGUUGAUUACGUCCCUGCCCUUUGUACACACCGCCCGUCGCUACUACCGAUUGGAUGGUUUAGUGAGAUCCUCGGAUUGGUCCCGGCGCGGCCUCUGGUCGUGCCGGAGUGCCGAAAAGAAUGUCGAACUUGAUCAUCUAGAGGAAGUAAAAGUCGUAACA